CUCUUAUCCAGAGAGGUGGAGGGACUGGCCCGAUGAAACCCGGCAACCGCCAGACAGGGUCUGGAAAGGUGCCAAUUCCUGCGAAGAUGUAAAAGUCUUCGAGAGAUGAGAG
rnacentral:ncRNA from 2 species